AGUGAACGCUGGCGGUAGGCCUAACACAUGCAAGUCGAACGGCAGCACAGUAAGAGCUUGCUCUUACGGGUGGCGAGUGGCGGACGGGUGAGGAAUACAUCGGAAUCUACUUUUUCGUGGGGGAUAACGUAGGGAAACUUACGCUAAUACCGCAUACGACCUACGGGUGAAAGCAGGGGAUCUUCGGACCUUGCGCGAUUGAAUGAGCCGAUGUCGGAUUAGCUAGUUGGCAGGGUAAAGGCCCACCAAGGCGACGAUCCGUAGCUGGACUGAGAGGAUGAUCUGCGCAACAGGAACUGAGAGAAGGAACAGACUCGUACGGGAGGCAGCAGUCGGGAAUCGUCCGCAGUGGGAGAAAGCCUGAGGGAGCAAAGCAGAGUGAGUGAUGAAGGACUUCGGAUCGUAAAACUCUGUUAUGAGGGAAGAACAUAUGUGUAAGAAACUGUGCACAUCUUGACGGGAACUAAUCAGAAAGGCACGGCUAACUACGUU
rnacentral:rRNA from 1 species